rnacentral:rRNA from 1 species
CAUUAAAAAGUUAAUUGUGGAAAUCAGUUUAAUUUGAUUUAAAAAAAUUAUUUAUAAUUAUUGAAAAAAAUAUUUUUAUAUUUUAUUAUAUUUAAAGAAAAAAUUAUUAUAAUAAUAGUUAAUUAGUAUAGUGAUAGAAUUUAUAUAAAAUUAUUAAAGAAGAAUUUAUUUUUUGUACCUUGUGUAUCAGGGUUUAUUAAUUAAUUUUUAUAAAUAUAAAUUUCUCGAUUUUAAAAGAGUUAAUUAUUUAUAAAUAUUAUUGUAACAUAAAUAUUUAUAAUAAAUAAUUAGUAAUGAAACGUUAUUCGUUUUUAAAUAUAUCUAGUUUUUAAAGAAAAAAAUAUAAUUUUAUUUAUAUAAAUAGUUAAUAUUGAUUUUAAAAUAAUAAUUUUAUAUAAAUUAUAUUAUUUGGGAUAAGCUAAAUAAUAAAAAUUUAUAAAUACUAUAAUUUAAAUUAAAGUGUAGGAUUAGAAAUUUUCAUCAUUUAUUUUGUUAUAAUUAAUUAAAUAAUAAUAAAAAUUUAUAUGUAUUUUAAGUUUUUUAUUUAAAUAUUAAAUUAAAUUUAAUAAUUUAAGAAAUUAUGAUAAAAUUAGUAUAAAUUAAUGUUUAAUUAAGAUAAAAAAUUUAGGUUAUAAAAAGGAAUUCGGCAAAUAAAUUUUUCGCCUGUUUAAUAAAAACAUGUCUUUUUGAUUUUAAUUUAAAGUCUGACCUGCCCAAUGAGUAGUUUAAUGGCCGCAGUAUUUUGACUGUGCAAAGGUAGCAUAAUCAUUAGUUUCUUAAUUAGAAACUAGAAUGAAAGGUUGGACGAGAAAAUAACUGUCUCUUUAUAAAUUAGUUAAAAUUUUAUUUUUAAGUAAAAAAGCUUAAAUAAUUUUAAAAGACGAGAAGACCCUAUAGAGUUUUAUUUUAAUUUAAUUAUAAUAUUUAAUUAGAAUAUUUUAAUUUUUAUUUAAAUUAAAAUUUAAUUGGGGUGAUUGAAAAAUUUAUUUAACUUUUUUUAAAUAUUAACAUUUAUUUAUGAAUUCGUGAUCCAUUUUUUAUGAUUAUAAGAUUAAAUUACCUUAGGGAUAACAGCGUAAUUUCUUUUUAGAGUUCAAAUCAUUAAAGAAGUUUGCGACCUCGAUGUUGGAUUAAAAUUUAUUUUUGGUGUAGUAGCUAAAAAAUUAGGUCUGUUCGACCUUUAAAAUUUUACAUGAUCUGAGUUUAAACCGGUGUGAGCCAGGUUGGUUUCUAUCUUUAAAUAAAUUAAAUAUUUUAGUACGAAAGGACCAAAUAUUUUAAAUAUUUUAUUAUAAGUGAUUUUUAUUAAUAUUUUAAUUAUUUUGGCAGAUUAGUGCAUUAAAUUUAGAAUUUAAUUAUGUAAAUUGAUUA